UACGUAGGAGGCGAGCGUUGUCCGGAUUUACUGGGCGUAAAGGGCGCGCAGGCGGCACCGUAAGUACUUAGUGAAAUCUCCCUGCUCAACGGGGAGGGUGCUGAGUAGACUAUGGAGCUAGAGGUGGGUAGAGGGUGGUGGAAUUGCUGGUGUAGCGGUGAAAUGCGAAGAGAUCAGCAGGAACACCCGUGGCGAAGGCGGCCACCUGGGCCUAACCUGACGCUGAGGCGCGAAGGCUAGGGGAGCGAACGGG
rnacentral:rRNA from 1 species